rnacentral:SRP_RNA from 1 species
GCUGGUGCAGUGAUAUACACCUGUAGUCCUAGUUAUUCAGGAGGCUGAGGCAGGAGGAUCACCUGAGCUCAGGAGUUCUGAGCUGUAGUAUGCUAUGCCAAUCUUGUGUCCACACUAAGUUCGGCAUCAAUAUGGUGACCUCCCAGGAGCAGGGGACCACCCGAUUGUCUAAGGAGGGGUGAACCGGCCCAGGUCAAAAACAGAGCAGAUCAAAACUCUGUUCUGGGAGUAGUGGGAUCACAUCUGUGAACAGCCAGUGCAUUCCAGCCUGGGCAACACAGUGACACUCGGUCUCU